GAGUUUGAUCCUGGCUCAGAACGAACGCUGGCGGCGCGCCUAAUACAUGCAAGUCGAGCGAGAAGACGUAGCAAUACGUUUGUAAAGCGGCGAACGGGUGAGGAAUACAUGGGUAACCUACCCUCGAGUGGGGAAUAACUAGCCGAAAGGUUAGCUAAUACCGCGUACGCUUCUUGGACUUCGGUUCAGGGAGGAAAGCGAUACCGUGGGUAUCGCGCUCUUGGAUGGGCUCAUGUCCUAUCAGCUUGUUGGUGAGGUAACGGCUCACCAAGGCUUCGACGGGUAGCUGGUCUGAGAGGACGAUCAGCCACACUGGCACUGCGACACGGGCCAGACUCCUACGGGAGGCAGCAGUAAGGAAUAUUGCGCAAUGGGCGAAAGCCUGACGCAGCGACGCCACGUGGGGGAUGAAGGUCUUCGGAUUGUAAACCCCUUUCGGGAGGGAAGAUGGAAUGGGGUAACCCAUUCGGACGGAACCUCCAGAAGCAACCUCGGCUAA
rnacentral:rRNA from 1 species